rnacentral:rRNA from 1 species
UAAGAGCUUGCUCUUAUGAAGUUAGCGGCGGACGGGUGAGUAACACGUGGGUAACCUGCCCAUAAGACUGGGAUAACUCCGGGAAACCGGGGCUAAUACCGGAUAACAUUUUGAACUGCAUGGUUCGAAAUUGAAAGGCGGCUUCGGCUGUCACUUAUGGAUGGACCCGCGUCGCAUUAGCUAGUUGGUGAGGUAACGGCUCACCAAGGCAACGAUGCGUAGCCGACCUGAGAGGGUGAUCGGCCAC